rnacentral:tRNA from 1 species
GCGGCAUUAGCUCAAUGGUAGAGCUACAGUCUUCCAAACUGAGGACGAUGGGUUCGAUUCCCUCAUGCCGCUCCA